GUAGUGAUAGUAUAACGAGUAUGUCUGUCUUCCAAACAGAAGGUCCAUUAGUGGUUACUACU
rnacentral:tRNA from 1 species